rnacentral:lncRNA from 1 species
AUGGGAGCUUUGGAGAACCCUGAGAAAGAAGAUGAGGACAAAGUCUGCCCUCCAUGCCCUUGGGAAGGUGUCUCAGGAAGUCAGAAAAUUUAUCCUGAUGUGGGAAAAGUCAGAGGACUGUGCUGGACCUCAGAUCCCAGGGACAUUGAAAGAAUGGGAGUUUUGAAGGAAAAGAAAGAAAGGAUGAUUUGGGAGAAGUUACAUGAUUUACUUGUCAAGGGCCACAUCUGGUUACCGCUGGAGAACAGCUCAGGCUUGUUGGAUGAUUCUUGCCCAGGUCACCAAAGCCACACUCUGGCUGGAGUGUUGACAGUGGCCUGACUGGAGAGGCGGUGUGCUCCUCGGGUGGCGUUUGGAACUGCUGGACUGCUUUACUGAACAUCAGCCAGAGUCUCCAGUCCCUGCUCUGGUUUUUCACACAUCUACCACCAACAUCAGGUUUUAUUAACACGGAAGACAGCUUUCUAAUGAAAUAUGGCCCUUAACUUCUUUUAUAUUUAGUAAUAUCCUGAACUCUUUAUCCAAAUGAAGCAUAAAGCACUUACAACUGUGUUUUGCCAUUGCACUGACCGAGGAAUAUAUUCAUUUGCAGUAACAUGGGAUUCAAUGGAGUGGAAAAUAAGCUCUGAAAAUUGCUCUUGCCACGAAACUGUAUCAAUAAAUAGGAAAAGCCCAUUUAGAUUUCA